rnacentral:lncRNA from 1 species
AUUCCGGCACUGGGGCUCCGCCGUGCUCCGGUGCUUGCGGCUGCGAUUCGCCUCAGGUUGGCCGUUUUCGGCCAAAUUCGGCCACACUUGCAUCGGUCCCUGCGAUAAAACAACCCUAGGGUCCUCGGUGGGCCAAAAAAUCACGAAAAAUCGAAACUUACCGGCGGCGGCAGGUGGCGGCGGCCGGCUCCUCCGGCAUCUGGUUCUUCUUCUCCGGCGAGGCACUGGCGGCUAGGGUUUUUGUGGUCAGGUGUGGGUGGGGUUAUUUAUACCCUUUGCCUUUUAAUCUCAACCGUCCAUCAAGAUUAAAUUUGGACCGUUCGAUCGCGAUUUAAUUGAGAUUAAAUCUGGACCGCCCAUCGCGAUGCAAUCUGGACCGUCCGUGUGCGUGAAUCUGGACUGUCCGUGCGCACGUU